rnacentral:rRNA from 1 species
GACGAACGCUGGCGGCGUGCUUAACACAUGCAAGUCGAACGGUAAGGCCCUUCGGGGUACACGAGUGGCGAACGGGUGAGUAACACGUGGGUGAUCUGCCCUGCACUUCGGGAUAAGCCUGGGAAACUGGGUCUAAUACCGGACAGGACCCUGGGAUGCAUGUCCUGGGGUGGAAAGCUUUUGCGGUGUGGGAUGGGCCCGCGGCCUAGCAGCUUGGUGGUGGGGUGAUGGCCUACCAAGGCGACGACGGGUAGCCGGCCUGAGAGGGUGACCGGCCACACUGGGACUGAGAUACGGCCCAGACUCCUACGGGAGGCAGCAGUGGGGAAUAUUGCACAAUAGGCGCAAGCCUGAUGCAGCGACGCCGCGUGAGGGAUGACGGCCUUCGGGUUGUAAACCUCUUUCAGCACCGACGAAGCGCAAGUGACGGUAGGUGCAGAAGAAGGACCGGCCAACUACGUGCCAGCCGCCGCUGUAA